rnacentral:lncRNA from 1 species
GCGCGACUUCCCUGGCCCUCCCCCUGCGGACCAGUGAACCUCGCCCGAGGGCUCAAUAAAGAAGAUUUUUGCCCUCUUUUUCUCACCUCUCAGCCUUAUUGAUCCAUGGUGCCCUUCCAUUGCCUUUCAUUGGUGCCGAAACCCGGGAGGGGACACCUCCUAAGCCCCCCCAGAGGCUCAGGGGGACUCCCCUCCUGGUCGGAUCAGUCCUCUCCCUCAGUCAGGUCAGGCUUCUCCUCCACGGCCAUCUGUCCAUUUCGUCCGGUUACUUGCUGCCAGGUCGCAGUUGCUGCAGCUACUCCAGUCCAAUUCGGCCGACGCUAGAAAUUUUCUGCUGAUUUUCUUGAUUGUGAUAUACCUCAGCACUUGACUUGCUGAAUAAGACAACUGUGGCAAUUAUGACUACUGACAAGAAUAUUGUGUAAAUGAUCAAGAAUAACUUGUUAUAUAUCUAGACCAGAUAUAUAUGAAAGAGAAAAUUGACAAAGGUGGAGCAAGUAUCCCAGCUAUUAAUGUGUAA